ensembl:lncRNA novel transcript
GGGGUCACCUCCCACUCCGGCUAGAAAGAGAGAAGGAGACAGUGAAUUCCUCGGAAGCCGCUCGCCCUGCACCCAAGCGGGACUUGCACCACAAGCAGCCCCAGGAAAAAACUCUCCAUUUCUUUCUCGUGGAGGCUCCAGAAGAAAAGCUGCGCAUUUACCCGGCGCAUUCUAACCGCCUUUGAGGUUCCCUCCGGCAGCCAUGGGAGCCGUGGUGGGGCAAAGCCUGGGCUGGGAGACGCUGCAAGGCUCUGGGGAGCAGUGAGGCGCCGCGCCAGCUCCUCCGUUCCCGUCAUAGCCUCACACGGGCUUCGCUGGACACGUCCAGGACGCAGCGCCGGUGGGCACCAGGCGUUGAGCGCCUGCCCCGCGUCUGUGCUAAGACCUCCCUUUGCAUUAUUGCAUUUAUUCCAACGAUGGGGUGAGGUAGGUAUUCUUAUUUCCAUUGCCAGAGUGAAACACUGAGGCUCAUCCAGGGGCCGGUGUGGAAAUCAGGGCUCAGCCCUGGGCCCCUGCUGCUUGGAGCCGGUGCGGUGGCCACCGUGACCUCACGCUUUCCCUGCCAGUCGCUCUCCGCCGCAUCCCGGCCUCCCGCCCCGCCCCCGGCCGCUUUCCAGGGACUGAAGCCCGAGUUGGUGCUGCGUGUCCCCGCGGGGAUUAUUUUCAAACAGCUCCUCCUGCCCUGGCUCCCACAGCGCGGCCCCAGGCAGCUGCACCACUUUCUCCUCUCACCAAUUAAAGCCGAAUCCAGGGCUCCUUAGCAUAUGAAUUGAGGCGCAUCGGAGCCCUCACUGCUGGGCCAGCCCCUCCCGGGCUCCUCCGGUUCCGGGAGGUCCACAGCCCAGCAGCAGCUGCCCCUGCACGUUGUCCCCUCCGUCCAGCAUCCCGGGGCCGAGGAGACAGUGCCCCUGGCCGGGGGCUGCGCUGGCUUCAACUUCCCAUGGGCAAAACGGGGUCCCGGGUCAGUGUUCACAGAGGGUCUCAAACCCUGCAGGACCCUGAAAUUGUCUGGGAUCCACACCAGUCGGAAGAAAAAAAGAAUAGAAAACGCAGGGAUUCACCUCCUCUGCAGGCACCCUCAUGCCGAACACUAAACAGGAUGAUGUUGAAAAGGAUUUGGAGAUUUAUGCAGGUCACGAGCUUGAGGAAUUUUUCCAUUGAAUGCACCAUGCCUUGGGUUUCCCGUUUCCCACUGAAAAUCCCAUGGCUGACACUUUUUUUAUAUCAUUACCUUGGGAGAUGAAGAAAAACUCAUCUGUUAGGGCAGCUCUGUGAAUGCAGAUGCUUUGGGUUGUUUUGAAUGAAUGACUGAAUGUUCUGAAAUAAAGCAGGAAGGUGCCUGCGGGAUAAUGACUGGUUUCGCAACUCUUGGCCGGGAGUCUAGACCCCUCUGAUAAUCAAUAGAAAUGGAUGUAUAUUAAAUUUAGCAAUAGAAAAAGUAUAGAUAGUUGAGUAUGCUACAUUAUUUUCCUAUAAAUUAACCCGUUACCACAGUCUUUAAUUAUCUUCCCCUUGCGAGGCAUAAAGAAGAGACUGCUUGAGGAUGGAGGGUUUUUUGUGGUCUGAGGUCUGCAGACUGGCCAAGUAUUCCAAUAUUAAUUACCACCCAUCCUGGCCGUAGGCUCACCCCGCUGACCUGAGCAGACCUGGUGAAGCAAGCCACAACUUCUGCUGGAAAUUGCUCCACUCUUCCAUUAAGUGAGGAUUAGAAAGCCCUUUGUGAGAAUUUUGCCCAGAGUCUAAGUUGAGCACUUUGUCACUUGCACGCUUCAUUUUCCAGCAUACCGUUCGCUCAGCUCAGUGUCUAUCCAGGCACUGAAGGUUCGGAUGCAAGCACUCUCCAGCGUAGGGGCUGACCAAGUGAAAUGCACACUGAGCAACCGUGCAGCUCCAGGUCCUGGCGGCUCUUCACAACCAGACAUUCUCCCUGGAGACCCUAAGCUCCUCUUCCUCUGUUGGGGGAGCACAAAAUACCCUAUAAGGGCUGCUUUGCUGCCUCUGGCACUUUCUUCAUCAGGGGAGUUACAUCCAGAUGUAGCUGACAGGUCAGGGCCCCUUCUCCUCCACCAUGUCUCAGGGUUAUCUUUUCCAAAUGGAGGAAGUCAAGGGUAUGCAGGCGCUCCAGUUUCCCUGCCUUACCCUACAUAUCCAUAACAGACUUCAACACGAGAACCAGCGUUUCG